AAAGGAUUUACUUUGCCGUGUGCAGCAGUGACAGCACUCAGGAGGAAGUCAUAGCUGGGAGACAUCUAUUAUGAUGUUUGCAUUGAGUCUGCAGUUUGCAUCAGUGCCAGAGCUGCUGCUCUCCUCUCCCCCCUCAGGAUUACCAGGAGGGCUGUGACAUUAAAUGGAACGGUCGCCUUUGAAGUUCAGACUUCAGAACUGAGGCGGUUUUUCCACGUUGGCAGUUAAGUUCCAGCCUCCUUCCGUGGAUGCCAGGCCAAGGAAACAAACAGUUCCACAUCUGCCUGAAGCACCUCCACAGAGUCAACCGACCGCUUCCACCGCGGACCCGUCCCAGAGCUCACCUGCUGCUCAGCUGCACUGCCAUCGCCCUCCUGGACUCAGGACCAGCUCUGACCCGGGGGUGUUCUCCAGUGCUUCCCAGCAAAUCCUCCUCCGGGCAGCGCAGCCCUGAGGCCACAGCUGAUGCCCACAGGGCAGCAUUCCCUGCGUGCUGGAAAGCGCCGAGCCAAAAGGGAGGAGACAAGUUAACAAAGAAAGCCCAUUUCCCAAAGGAAAGACUUGUAUUCUUGAAGAUGUCAACUACAACAAUGGCAAUGGAUGUGUAUAAACCAACAUGCACUGGAGAAGGCGAGCCAAAAUGAUAUUGAUAAGUUAUGAGAUGUUAUUUCAUUUUGAAGCAAAAUAAUAUUUUAUUCUUCUUUCGGAAUUUUUCACGUUUCAUUUCCAUGCAGGAUUUUGAAGCUUCAAAUGCUCCCAAGGGGGCAUAUUAUAGGGACAGAACACCUGUCAAAGACACCUGCAGUCAUGUGCUCUUUACAAUUGCUUCACAAGGGAUAAGGGAGAUAUGCCCCAUCUAUUUAAUUGCUAGCAAUUCUUCGCAAGGAUGAUAAGCAAAUACUGACUUUUUAACUGUCGAAAAGACAACCAUAGUUGGAUUGGCACCAAAAGUAAGUGAGGAGAACAACCUUCUUAAUCAAUAUCUGAGCCAGGUGGCUGAGUAUAUGAGAGAGAAAUGAUUUCCAAGCUGCGUGCCAAGCUCAUGUUCUCUGCAGUGGGGCCCCGUUUUGUGCUGGGGAAGAGUCAGGACACUUAACUCGCAGCAUCAUGGGAUGCUUUGGGCAGAGAAUUGACUGCUGUUGGCUGGAGGAGCUGAAAGACAGUGCUGAUCUUGCUGUAGCUCUGAAAAUAGAUCUGCACCUGUUAUUAGUGUCAGUGCUGCCAUUAAAAUCCCAUCCAAGGGCGUAAAUAAUUUGCAAAUAAGAGAGAUUUUCAAAAUAGACUCCACUCCUCUUCCCAAAUCUUUCUGAUUACUCAAAAGUCAAGACAGAGUAUUACAAGCAUUAGAAAGAAGGAAACAUAAGAUAAAACCCCACACAAUUAAAAACUGUGCAAGAAAGCAUGCAAGAAACUACUCCAGGUUUAAAAUGUGGUCAAAGAUCAACACAUUGACUUGGAUGCACCUGAAGAAAUACACGGACAAUUUGAAGUGCCAGCUUCUCUCUUCCUGCUCUUCUUCGUUCUUUCCUUUGCAAGUUGUUUCCAGGCUUGCCAAAGCAAAGGCCAUCUCUUACUGCUUUCCACAUCAUACCUGC
ensembl:lncRNA